GAAUAUUGGACAAUGGGCGAAAGCCUGAUCCAGCCAUGCCGCGUGAGUGAUGAAGGCCUUAGGGUUGUAAAGCUCUUUUAGCAGGGAAGAUAAUGACGGUACCUGCAGAAAAAGCCCCGGCUAACUUCGUGCCAGCAGCCGCGGUAAUACGAAGGGGGCUAGCGUUGCUCGGAAUUACUGGGCGUAAAGCGCACGUAGGCGGACUCUUAAGUCGGUGGUGAAAUCCUGGAGCUCAACUCCAGAACUGCCUUCGAUACUGGGAGCCUUGAGUUCGGGAGAGGUGAGUGGAACUGCGAGUGUAGAGGUGAAAUUCGUAGAUAUUCGCAAGAACACCAGUGGCGAAGGCGGCUCACUGGCCCGAUACUGACGCUGAGGUGCGAAAGCGUGGGGAGCAAACAG
rnacentral:rRNA from 1 species